rnacentral:rRNA from 1 species
AAAAUUGAUAAAACUUUCAACAACGGAUCUCUUGGCUCUGGCAUCGAUGAAGAACGCAGCGAAAUGCGAUAAGUAAUGUGAAUUGCAGAAUUUAGUGAAUCAUCGAAUCUUUGAACGCACAUUGCGCCCCUUGGUAUUCCGAGGGGCAUGCCUGUUCGAGCGUC